rnacentral:rRNA from 1 species
GAUGAACGCUGGCGGCGUGCCUAAUACAUGCAAGUCGAGCGAACAGACGAGGAGCUUGCUCCUCUGACUUUAUCGGCGGACGGGUGAUUAACACGUGGAUAACCUACCUAUCAGACUGGGAUACCUUCGGGAAACCGUGGCUACUACCGGAUAAUAUAUUGACCCUCAUGGUUCCCUCGUUAAAGUCGGUUUUUCUUUCACUUAUAGAUUGAUCCGCGCCGCAUUAGCUAGUUGUUUAGGUAACGGCUUACCAAGGCAACGAUGCGUAGCCGACCUGAGAGGGUGAUAGGACACACUGGAUCUGAGAAACGGUCCAGACUCCGAGGGGAGGCAGCAGUAGGGAAUCUUACGCAAGGGGCGAAAGCGGGACGGAGGAAAGCCGGGUGAGGGAUGAAGGAGUUAGGAUCGUAAAGCGAUGUUAUUAGGGAAGAAGAAAUGUGUAAGUAACUGUGCACGUAAUGACGGUACCGAAAGAGAAAGCCACGGCUAACUACGUG